rnacentral:misc_RNA from 1 species
AUGUUGCUGAGUUGCGCGACGUUUCUGUGCAUAUCCGAAGCAGGAGCAGCAGUAGUUCCAGCCCAGGAAGCCUUUCGUUUCGACCUUUCAGGAACGUGUAGUGCGCACGUCGUUUUGACGAAAAGUCACCUUCCCUGCGAUAACCGACGACUCAACCUGGACUGCAGGGUAAAGUCGUUGCAGCGCGUUCGGGUGUACGCGCGAGCUCCACGAGUCGCCAGUGAGUGCCUCGGCAUACCUCGACCUCGACGGUGUUCGUUGAACCCAGAACACGAAUUCGGGAGCUUGGUUGCCUCAAGGCGAAAGCGAGCGACAGGCACUUCUCGGAGUCUGUGGGUGUUUCUGGUGCCUAUCCCAGUCUGUGGCCGGAGUGUGUCCGUUCGUCCAGUUCAAGCGGAGGUGUACCGAGUGUCUUGAGCAGCGUGCGGACGUCUGGGUGUCACGGUGGCUCUCUGUGGUGCGUCCUGCCUUCACGGGCGUGAUUCAGACUGCACCCGCGAGCAUGCGCUACUCACUCGUGCUGCAAACGCCCGCCACCUGCGCAGUGUUGCAGGCGAGAGACAGCGGAACCUACCGCUAUGCGACUUGGCGUUAGGUGCGUAGGUAUAUGCGUUUAUGCGACGGAAGCAACGUUGUUGUCGAGUACCUGCCCGCGGGUUAUCUGGGACCGUGUUGAGAUUCACGUUUACGCAUUCUCUAUAUAUGCUGCCUUUAGAUGAAGCUGCCGCCUAGCCUAGCCAAGCGCAUCUCUUCCUAGGCACCAGAACCCGCUCUGGUCCAAGAUAUGCACGCGUAUCCAUUCCCGGCUUUUUGGUGACGCUCAGGGAGUAUUCCUUGUCCGGCUGGGUAUGCCACUACUUGAUCAGCGCUUUCAAAAGCAGAUGCCAGCCCCGCGCACCAGCGCGUCCAGCGUUUACAUUACAGGCUUGCACACCGCCGCUACCCGCUGGUAUCAUACGCCGGUUUGUCUUCAUCGUGAAGCUCUUCGUUCCACGACUUGCUCUACCAGAGUCUCCGAUGCCGCGGUAGCAUGUCUGGGAAUGCUCUACCUCCGGCAAACGCACACACACUCACUCCUUCACAACAACAACAACAACAACCAAUGGGAAUCGAACAAGGCACAGAUGCACGCCUCAGGUGCCGCUUUCAAGUGCAUCCAAUCCACGAACGACGUGAACGGACAUGUGGACUUUGGUGACGCACGAGUUCGCCAACAGGUGCACUGCUCGCCAAACAACAUCCGGCUCGAUGUCGCCCAGGUGUUGUACUGGUCGCCGCAACGCCAGCGCAUGCGUAUGAGAGAGCAGCAGCGACGGGUGCUGCUGCAGCUCCGAACGGAUCCUCUGCAGCGCCAUGAGUCGACAAGUGUGGCACGAAUGAUCGCCCUGGUCAGCAACGUGUCCAUCUUGGGGCGUCUGCUGCUCAGGCGAGGCAUCGACGGUAUCGCGAUCCGCAUAGAGUUGGAAGUAGCCGCGGUAGAGGUGUGCAUCCAGGGCCGUGCGAAAUGCCUCAUCCUCAAUGGCUUCCGCGACGCUCAACAGACCCACUACGGCUGCGGGUUGAGAGCCGGUGAUCAGAUUCGGCUCUCGAUAGUACUUGUGGCGAUUGGCAAUCACAUUUUCGUUGAAAACGGGCGCCCGUGAAAUAGCUGUCGCUGUGAAAUGCGAAAACUCAGCGAUGCCGUAGAAGAACAGGGGGUUCGUCGUUCCCGUCUGCAGGUACAGAUCAUUGAGUACACGUGACCACGGCAGGCCUGCUGGUAUUUUCUUGGAGCCAGCAUUGGUACCCUGAACCCCGGUAGGCAAUUGCACGCCGGGCGCCUCGUAUGAUACGUAAAAGUCGGGUACAGCACCCUGGGGCAUGCCCAGGAACGCGACACUCGAGAGG